rnacentral:rRNA from 1 species
GAUGAACGCUGGCGGCGUGCCUAAUACAUGCAAGUCGAGCGAACAGACGAGGAGCUUGCUCCUCUGACGUUAGCGGCGGACGGGUGAGUAACACGUGGAUAACCUACCUAUAAGACUGGGAUAACUUCGGGAAACCGGAGCUAAUACCGGAUAAUAUAUUGAACCGCAUGGUUCAAUAGUGAAAGACGGUUUUGCUGUCACUUAUAGAUGGAUCCGCGCCGCAUUAGCUAGUUGGUAAGGUAACGGCUUACCAAGGCAACGAUGCGUAGCCGACCUGAGAGGGUGAUCGGCCACACAGGAACUGAGACACGGUCCAGACUCCUACGGGAGGCAGCAGUAGGGAAUCUGCCGCAAUGGGCGAAAGCCUGACGGAGCAACGCCGCGUGAGUGAUGAAGGUCUUCGGAUCGUAAAACUCUGUUAUUAGGUAAGAACAAAUGUGUAAGUAACGAUGCACGUCUUGACGGUACCUAAUCAGAAAGCCACGGCUAACUACGU